rnacentral:rRNA from 1 species
GAUGAACGCUGGCGGCGUGCUUAACACAUGCAAGUCGAACGAAGCACUUUUAUUUGAUUUCUUCGGAAUGAAGAUUUUAGUGACUGAGUGGCGGACGGGUGAGUAACGCGUGGGUAACCUGCCUCAUACAGGGGGAUAACAGUUAGAAAUGACUGCUAAUACCGCAUAAGACCACAGCACCGCAUGGUGCAGAGGUAAAAACUCCGGCGGUAUGAGAUGGACCCGCGUCUGAUUAGGUAGUUGGUGGGGUAACGGCCUACCAAGCCGACGAUCAGUAGCCGACCUGGGAGGGUGACCGGCCACAUUGGGACUGAGACACGGCCCAAACUCCUACGGGAGGCAGCAGUGGGGAAUAUUGCACAAUGGGGGAAACCCUGAUGCAGCGACGCCGCGUGAGCGAUGAAGUAUUUCGGUAUGUAAAGCUCUAUCAGCAGGGAAGAAAAUGACGGUACCUGACUAAGAAGCACCGGCUAAAUACGUGCCAGCCGCCGCCGUAA